CAGGCUCGGGGCAGAGCAGCUGGCGGCGGCUGCGCUGGAAUGCAAACCACAGGAAGGCGGGCCGCACCUUCUCCCGGGCUGAACGGGACCGGAGCUGAGCAAGGUGAAACAAAGCGACCGGAAGAACAGGGAAGACCCCAGAGAGCUCAGGAGAGCGGCUGGGAGGCUGACGGACUCUGAGCAGGUGCAGGGCCUGGUGGCUGCCUGGAGAGAGGCUGGGCCCGGGCUCGGGUGAGCGGGGCGAAGACAGGGGUGAGCGGGGCGAAGACAGAGCUGAGCCCUGACAGUGUGAUUGUCCCUGGAACGCCAAGCCUCAGUGAGCCAGUUACCGCUGGCGGUUACUAAUACUUGCACAACCAAAUCCACAUGCCGGCGUCCCUAGUCUGUGAGCGCCUCGCCCGGAGCUGCAUCUGCUGAAAGGCUCCGUCCCUGUGUCACUCCGAACGGAACCUGAGGUGUGGCCCAUUAGCUGAAUUAACGUGGGUUCCGGAUAAUCCAAGAAGGAAACAAUGAGCCCAGUGGGGUGGUGCAAGCUGUAAUCCCAGCACGAGGAAUCUUGAAUUUGAUCCCAGCCUGGGUAACCUAGAGACCUAGCAAGACCCUGUCUCAAAAUUUUAAAAAGGUAGAGAGUGUAGUUCAGUGCAAAGGCCUUGGUUCAAGUUCAGUUGUCAAAAAGGACAGAAAGAGAGAGAAAGAGAGAGAAAUUAGCAAGUGACUUUAGUCAUUUCCCCUAUAAAACAUCUCCCCAAGAUGCCAAGCAGAUGGUUCAUGUGCUCUCCCUUUGGCGCCAUAGAGGAACUAUACAAGCAGAGAAAUGAAAUGAAA